CCCUUAGAUGUUCUGGGCCGCACGCGCGCUACACUGAUGCAUUCAACGAGUCUAAAACCUGCUCUGAUAGGGGUGGGUAAUCUUUUGAAUGUGCAUCGUGAUUGGGAUAGAUGAUUGCAAUUUUUCAUCUUCAACGAGGAAUGCCUAGUAAACGCAAGUCAUCAGCUUGCAUUGAUUACGUCCCUGCCCUUUGUACACACCGCCCGUCGCUCCUACCGAUUGAAUGAUCCGAUGAAUAUCAUGGAUUGAGGAUGCAAGCAGGUUCGCCUGUCUUCAUCUUCGAGAAGUGAAGUAAAUCUUAUCAUUUAGAGAAAGGAGAAGUCGUAACA
rnacentral:rRNA from 1 species